GGAGUAGCGCAGCCCCACGCGAACCGCUUAGUAACCUUUAAUUUCAUUUCAUCUCCAGCAGACUGACACUGAGGGCUUGUCCGGCUUUCAUGGUCAGGCUGUUUCCCCAGGCAAAACAGCAAAUGCGACAAAGGUAAACAGUUUAUUAUUACUGACGGGACGAUCUUUAGCCUGGCUCGAACUAUUCCCAAGUGGGUAGGGCAUCGGAUGACCCACAGACAGGCGAUGCUCCGUACACCAAACGGGGGACAUUGAUUACCUUUAGUUCAUGGGAAUCAGACCAGAUUUGGGCUUUUAAAAGUGUCCUCAGCCAGGUAUUCAAGUGUACGAACAAAGAAACGCACUUACCGCCUAAUAAUGUUUGACAAUGCUAUAAAACCACAUCCGGACACCAAUGGAGUUCAACCUGAUGCUCCAGGAGAUCGAGCAUUGACUACUGUUAUUAAUAUUGAACCAGAAACCGAAAGUCCAACUGGGAUCUUCACAUCACAGCCGGAGAAGCAACAACAGCAAGCAGAGCAACUCCAAUCCGAAUCCGACAGAAUGGCCAACUUCGACGAUACGUUGCAACGCGCCCGCCUCGCCUUUUCCAGUGGAAAGACCAGGAACGUCAGCUUUCGACGCAAGCAGCUGGAGAAUCUGCUGCGUUGCUAUGAGGAGCACGAGAACGAGAUCAUCAGCGCCUUGGAGGCGGACCUGCGGCGGCCCAAGCAGGAGAGCCUCAUCGUGGAGACCGAGUUCAUGAAGAACGACAUCAAGCACAUUCUGUUCCACCUCGACGAGUGGGUGCAGUCGGAGAAGCCCCCCAAGUCCUUCGUGAACCUAAUGGACGAUGUCCAGAUCUACAACGAUCCCUUCGGCGUGGUCCUGGUGAUCGGCGCCUGGAACUAUCCACUGCAGCUGCUUCUCGUGCCCGUGGCUUCCGCCAUCGCCGCCGGAAACUGUGUGGUGAUCAAGCCGAGCGAGAUUGCCGCCAACUGCGCUAAGUUCAUUGCCGAUGUCAUUCCAAAAUAUUUGGAUAAUGAUUGUUAUCCAGUUGUUUGCGGUGGACCCAGCGAAACCGCGGAGCUGCUCAACCAGCGCUUCGACUACAUCUUCUACACGGGCUCCACACGUGUGGGCAAGAUCAUCCACGCCGCGGCCAACAAGCACUUGACCCCCACCACCUUGGAGCUGGGUGGCAAGAGUCCCUGCUACAUUGACAAAUCGGUGGAGCUGCGCACGGCUGUCAAGCGCAUCCUGUGGGGCAAGCUGAUUAACUGCGGACAGACCUGCAUCGCCCCCGACUACAUUCUCUGCUCCAAGGAGGUGCAGGAGAAGUUCAUCGUGGAGGCCAAGGACGUGCUGAAGGAGUGGUACGGCGAGAAUAUCCAGAGCAGCCCGGAUCUGAGCCGUGUGAUCAAUGCCAACAACUUUCAACGCCUUCUUGGUCUGAUGAAGUCAGGUCGCGUGGCCGUUGGCGGCAACUACGAUGCCGCCGAGCGUUACAUUGAACCCACCAUCUUGGUGGACGUGAAGGAGACCGAUCCCAUCAUGGAGGAGGAGAUCUUCGGCCCCAUCUUGCCCAUCUUCAAUGUGGAGAGUGCCUACGAAGCCAUCAAGUUCAUCAACGACAGAGAGAGUCCACUUGUCCUGUAUAUUUUCACAUCGGAAACAGACGUUCAGAAUCUGUUCAUAAACGGCACCCAGUCGGGCGGACUGUGCGUGAACGACACGAUAAUGCACUAUGCCGUUGAUGUUCUGCCUUUCGGAGGCGUUGGCAUGAGUGGAAUGGGAUGCUAUCAUGGAAAGUAUGGCUUUGAGACCUUCACACACAAAAAGUCCUGCCUGGGCAAGGAUUUGUCGGCCGUGGGCGAGAAGUUGGCAUCAGCACGGUACCCGCCCUACUCGGACCGCAAGGGAUCGCUGCUGUCCUUCCUGCUGCGCAAGCGCCGUCCGCUGCCCAACCUGCACCUGAGCCACGUGGUGGCCAUCGGACUGGGCGUCGGCUUGACGUUCCUGGCCAACUACUACCUACAGGUAAGGAAGGGCAAAUUGCUGUCGAAAUAGGUACACCUGAUGGAGCCCGGAGUUUUGUGAAGCCUGCGCCAGUGGAUCUUACCAUUUACUUUUGGAAUUGUUUGCAAUAAAUAAAAGCUCAACUGAUUAAAAGCCCAAAUACUUUUUACUUUUUAUACGCAUAUCGGUGGGUGAUAAAGCUUUGGAUACUUCGUUAUACAUGUAGUUAUUGUUAUUUAGUUGCUAUUUAAUACAAAUGUGAAUGCUGUAAUGUAAUGUACGACCAAUAAACAAUGUAUAAAACCA